rnacentral:rRNA from 1 species
AGAGUUUGAUCCUGGCUCAGGAUGAACGCUGGCGGCGUGCCUAACACAUGCAAGUCGAACGUGAGAGUGGAACAAGCGCUUCGGUGUGAGUUCUGCUUGAAAGUGGCGGACGGGUGAGUAACACGUGGGUGACCUGCCUUGGAGUGGGGGAUAACCAUUGGAAACGAUGGCUAAUACCGCAUGGGUCUGUAGCGAUGGGAAUCGUUGCGGGCAAAGCUUUGGCGCUUCAAGAGGGGCCUGCGGCCGAUUAGCUAGUUGGUGAGGUAAAGGCUCACCAAGGCGGAGAUCGGUAGCUGGUCUGAGAGGACGAUCAGCCACACGGGAACUGAGAAACGGUCCCGACUCCUACGGGGGGCAGCAGUGAGGAAUAUUGCACAAUGGGGGGAACCCUGAUGCAGCAACGCCGCGUGGAGGAUGAAGGUCUUCGGAUUGUAAACUCCUUUUAUCGGGGAAGAGGAAGGACGGUACCCGGUGAAUAAGUCACGGCUAACUACGUGCCAGCAGCCGCGGUAAUACGGAGGGUGCAAGCGUUGUUCGGAUUUACUGGGCGUAAAGGGCGUGUAGGCGGUUGGCUAAGUCAGAUGUGAAAUCCCUUGGCUUAACCAAGGAACGGCAUUUGAAACUAGCUAACUAGAGUACAGGAGAGGAAAGUGGAAUUCCCAGUGUAGAGGUGAAAUUCAUAGAUAUUGGGAGGAACACCGGUAGCGAAGGCGGCUUUCUGGCCUGAUACUGACGCUGAGACGCGAAAGCGUGGGUAGCAAACAGGAUUAGAUACCCUGGUAGUCCACGCCGUAAACGAUGGGAACUAGGUGUAGGAAGUGUUGACCCUUUCUGUGCCGAAGCUAACGCAUUAAGUUCCCCGCCUGGGGAGUGCGGUCGCAAGGCUAAAACUCAAAGGAAUUGACGGGGGCCCGCACAAGCGGUGGAGCAUGUGGUUUAAUUCGACGCUACGCGAAAAACCUUACCUGGGCUUGACAUGCUGGGAUUAGUCCUGGGAAACCAGGAGGAUUGCCUUCGGGUGUAACCAGCACAGGUGCUGCAUGGCUGUCGUCAGCUCGUGUCGUGAGAUGUUGGGUUAAGUCCCGCAACGAGCGCAACCCUCGCUUUUAGUUGCCAUCAUUAAGUUGGGCACUCUAAAGGAACUGCCCCGGUUAACGGGGAGGAAGGUGAGGAUGACGUCAAGUCCUCAUGCCCCUUAUACGCUGGGCUACACACGUGCUACAAUGGGCGGCACAGAGAGCAGCGACCCCGCGAGGGUGAGCAAAUCUCAGAAAACCGUUCUUAGUUCGGAUUGUACUCUGCAACUCGAGUACAUGAAGUUGGAAUCGCUAGUAAUCGCAAAUCAGCUAUGUUGCGGUGAAUACGUUCUCGGGUCUUGUACACACCGCCCGUCACACCACGAGAGUUGGUUGCACCUGAAGUAGCAGGCCUAACCGUAAGGAGGGAUGUUCCUAAGGUGUGAUUAGCGAUUGGGGUGAAGUCGUAACAAGGUACC